rnacentral:lncRNA from 1 species
GGCACGCAUCAUUUGUCUCACGAAAACAACAAUCCAUCAUGCCUAAAAUACCUUCCAUUUGCGGAGUUCUCGCUCAAUUAUAUUCUUCACAAAAAUCAUGGUCGUGGCAUCUAAUUCCUUAAUUUGUCAAAACCAAGUAAUUUAGCAUCAAGAGUUUGAAAGCAAUACGUACCUGCGAGAAAGGGCAUCGGACAAUGCCGUUUUCCUUACCUUGCUUGAUCGGAUAACGACAGAAAUGUCUCGAUGAACUCCAUCCAUCGGGCAUGUUUUGUUCAGUUUAUGUGCCUUAAAUGUUUCAAGGACUCAUCUCGUAUGCGACAACGGAAUCUCUAUGCCAUAGGUAGUGACUCCAUGUCUCCAACGCCCUAACCAAUGCAUUACAACUCAUAUCAUAAGUCGGGUAGUUUAAGGCUGACCCCACUUAGGUUUCUCACUGAAGUAAGCUAUUGGUCGUCCCUCGUGCCUAAAACUGCGCCUAUACCCAUACCUGAGCAUCACAUUCAAUUUCAAACAUUUUAGCAAAAGUUGGGCCAAAGGAUAUUAAAGGAGCGUUGGUCAGCCUUUGCUUGACAAUUUAAAUGCUUUCUGUUCGUCUUCCCCACUUAAUCCUACGUUUUUCUUGAUUACUUCCGUAAGUGGUGCCACGACUAAUGUGCUGAAAUUCUUUCACAAAAACCGUCGGUAGAAACUAACAAGUCCAUGAAAACUCCUCCAUUACCUACGGUUGUGAGGAAUCGGCCAUUCUUGGGAUGGCACGUAUCUUCUCCGCAUCAAACAUGUGGCCCUGUGAACUCCAACAAAGCCUAGAAGCACAAGAUUAUCUGUACAAAGGUACACUUCUUCAGAUUAACAAUAAAUUUUCUUACUAAAAACAUCUAAAACAGAUUUUAAUGUUGUACAUGAUCAUCUAAGUGUUGCAUAUAUGAGGAUAUCAUCCAAAAUAUACCAACACAUUUUAUGAUAAAUUGCACGCAAAAUAUGAUUCAUUAAAUGCAUGAAAGUACUCGGAGCAUUAGUUAGACCAAUGGCAGUACUAGCCAACUCUACAAUCCCAUAGUAGUUUGAAUGCAGUUUUCCACUCAUCGCCUCUUGUUUUUUUUUUUUUUAUUCAUUGGAUUGUGAUUUCCCUUUUCAAGUCAAUUUUAGAAAAAUACACAAGAAAACCAUGACACUCAUCUAGCAUUCAUCUAAAACGAGGGAAAUAGGAUGACGAUACUUUACCGUUAUAUGGUUUAUUGCUCGGACAAUCAACGAACAUUCUCCAGUGUCCCAUCCUUCUUAGGAACUAACAAAAAUGGAAUUGCCAAGACUCAGGCCUCCCUAACAUACCCCUUUCUAACAAUCACUUACCUGCCUUGAAACUCCUUUGUCUCGUCGGGGUUACUCCUAUAAGCUGGUCGUUUGGAUGGAAGCGCGGGUACAAAAUCAAUCUGAUGACUCGAUUCCUAGAAUGGGAGGUAAACCAUGCGCACUCACGGGAAAGACAGUCCUCAAAUUCCUGCAACAGAGAUACAACAGAAACUAGGUAUACAGAGUCAAGUCCGUAGUGUUAAUAUGCCUCCUUGUACAAGGAGUACAAUCAUCGGCUGAUUUGAAAACAUUGCUCUUUGAUUUCUUGGUUUUGCAUAAAAAUUCUUUUGUUCUCUCUGUUGUUACUCAAUGGCCGGAUCUAUAAUUGCCUUUUCUCUCUUUUUUCCUCGGCCUCUCUCUCUUUUCACACUUUUUUUGUUCACUCUCUUUUUGUAAUCUCAUGAUCUUCGAUGAACUUGUUCGGUGAUAAAGGGACAAGGGGGUCUGAUGGGUAGGUGAUUAAGUACAAUGAAUAUUUAUUGUGAACCCAUCAUCUUAACCUUGUCCUUUUUUUUCACCUUGCCUAUCGAACGUCAUGGUUGUCCUAACAACAAGUGCCCAGCUGCAUCGGUUACUAAUCACACAGACUUCAUCUUCAUAUUUACGAUUCGGAAGCCACUAACACCUGUUUAGUCACCCUCAACUCACCAUAAUUAUUCACCAUUGCAAUUUAUAAGGUAAGGAUGCAGUAUCGUUGGCAUCCUAAUUAUUAACCAUGGUUAUGCUUGCCACAUCGACAAUACCCACCAUCAAUAAUUACGCUACAUCCCUUGUCCUUGACAGCAUCUAGUGUAAAACGAUUCUCUCGUUGAACUUCAUCUUCGUUCUCAUUUGCAAGCUCAACGAUCUCCUUGCCACUAACGUCAAUUGCAUCAGGAGCUAAAUUAUUCUCCUCAGAGGCGUCCUCUAAUGGAGACAUGAAUUUCAGAUAAUCUUCGUAAUUCGCGUCUCAAUUUAUCCAUAUCCCGCAUCAACCAUAACCCGCAUAUUAGGUAUGACUUGCUAUGUGUCCCCUGCCUUGACAUUUAAAGCAAUCUAAUAUCACGAUUAUGGAGGGUUAGGAGUUUCGGUUAUACCACGCUUCUUGUUUGGAAGGUGGAAAUUGGAGGACGUUUGGGCCUUGUAUUCUUUCUUUGGAUUUUCGAUCUCC